UGAGGAAUAUUGGGCAAUGCCCGCAAGGGUGACCCAGCAACGCCGCGUGGAGGAUGAAUGUCGUAAGAUUGUAAACUCCUGUUAGAGGGGAAGAAUAGUACCGGUUGGACCGGUAUAUGACUGUACCCUCAGAGAAAGCCCCGGCUAACUACGUGCCAGCAGCCGCGGUAAUACGUAGGGGGCAAGCGUUGUCCGGAUUUACUGGGUGUAGAGGGCGCGCAGGCGGGAUAAAAAGUCAGUGGUGAAAUCCUACAGCUUAACUGUAGAACUGCCUUUGAUACUUUUAUUCUUGAGUUCGGGAGAGAGAGACGGAAUUCCAGGUGUAGUGGUGAAAUACGUAGAUAUCUGGAAGAACACCUGUUGCGAAGGCGGUCUCUUGGUCCGACACUGACGCUGAGGCGCGAAAGCGUGGGGAGCAAACA
rnacentral:rRNA from 1 species